rnacentral:ncRNA from 1 species
AAUGGGCGGGACAAAGGGUCGCGAUCUUGCGAGGGUGAGCUAACUCCAAAAACCCGUCCUCAGUUCGGAUUGCAGGCUACAACUCGCCUGCAUGAAG